GUACGUGUAUGCGACAACGCAGUGUCCCCCUUUGAGUGGGCUUUUUUCCUGAGUGGCAAGUCAGGAAGUGAGAUUAUGACAGGAAGUGACUGAUGAGUGCAGGAAUGCUGGGAACGGUACAGGAAACAUUGCCUGGUUCAAGGACACGCAUUGAGAGCCUUUUGUGCAAUUUUGGCUUAUUUCUCAGCGCAGGGGAAGAACGUCGGUCAUCGAAAAAUACCAUUGGAAGCCACAGGGGAAAAGAUCCUAACAUACUCCACAUCUGCCCCUUCCACUUCAACCCACUAGUGUACUGUAAAGACACUGGAGGGCUGGUUCUUACAAUGCCCCUUUGGAUCUGCUCCACGGCUUUAACUAUAAUUUGUGUCACGUGUAGAAGCAAUCAAAACAUCCAUCCAUCCAUUAGCCAAACCGCUCAUCCUCAAAAGGGUAACGGGAAAGCUGGAGCCUAUCCCAGCUAGCUUCAGGCGAAAGGCGGACGACACCCUGGACUGGUUGCCAGCCAGUCACAGUGCAGAUAUUGACACCAUCACUGAGUGGAAUCAAUGCCACGCUGCCAACACCAAACUUGGAGCCAAAUGCGUUCUAGGGUGGUCCAGAUGUACAUGGGCCCUUGGCGAUGCACGGAGCUAAUAUCUGACACGUCUGACAGCACCGCCUCAAGACGGGAUGCUGCAAGCGAUGAUGGACUCAUUGAACCUGCAAG